rnacentral:lncRNA from 1 species
AGUGAGCGCCUGGAGCCCGCCAGGUGCGGGUCCUCUGCUGUUUCCGGGCACGCAGGUCGGGGACCCGCGGGCGGAUGGCCGGCCGUGGUGGGACCGGUGCGGCGGAGUAUGGUGAGGAGGGCGAGGAAGAGGAGGAGGAGGAGGCGCGGGAAGGCGGAGCUGAGGGCUCCCCGGGGUCCAAGCUGCCUCCCAUCGUGGGCACCGCCUCCGAGCUGGCCAAACGGAAGGUGAAGAAG